rnacentral:rRNA from 1 species
GAUGAACGCUGGCGGCGUGCCUAAUACAUGCAAGUCGAGCGAACAGACGAGGAGCUUGCUCCUCUGACGUUAGCGGCGGACGGGUGAGUAACACGUGGAUACCCUACCUAUAAGACUGGGAUAACUUCGGGAAACCGGAGCUAAUACCGGAUAAUAUAUUGAACCGCAUGGUUCAAUAGUGAAAGACGGUUUUGCUGUCACUUAUAGAUGGAUCCGCGCCGCAUUAGCUAGUUGGUAAGGUAACGGCUUACCAAGGCAACGAUGCGUAGCCGACCUGAGAGGGUGAUCGGCCACACUGGAACGGAGACACGGUCCAGACUCCUACGGGAGGCAGCAGUAGGGAAUCUUACGCAAUGGGCGAAAGCCUGACGGAGCAACGCCGCGUGAGUGAUGAAGGUCUUCGGAUCGUAAAACUCUGUUAUUAGGGAAGAACAAAUGUGUAAGUAACUAUGCACGUCUUGACGGUACCUAAUCAGAAAGCCACGGCUAACUACGUG